CUUUAGCCCCGAUUACAGUGAAAAUCCUUGCGAGCCGGGGUUCGGCUCACAAGAUUGUAACGGAAAGCGGGACGAUAC
rnacentral:sRNA from 1 species